rnacentral:rRNA from 1 species
GCUCAAUUUCACAAACAUUAUCUUAAUCCUCCAUUUUUAUUGAGUAAUUCUAUAAUUUUAUAGAAAAUUUUAUGUUAAAACUAGUAACAAGAAGAAGACCUUCUCUUUAAUGUAAGUGUCAAUCAGAAAGGACAAGCCACUGAUAUUUAACAUCACUGAACCAAAAACAGUAACUCAUCAAGAAAAUCCUGUUUUUAUUUAUGUUAACCUAACACAAGAGCAUUCUAAGAAAGAUUAAAAGAAAAAGAAGGAACUCGGCAAAUAUUAACCUCGCCUGUUUACCAAAAACAUCGCCUCUUGAACUUUAUAAGAGGUCCAGCCUGCCCAGUGACUCUGUUCAACGGCCGCGGUAUCCUAACCGUGCGAAGGUAGCGUAAUCACUUGUUCUUUAAAUGCGGACUAGUAUGAAUGGCACUACGAGGGUUAUACUGUCUCCUUUUUCUAAUCAGUGAAACUAAUUUUCCCGUGAAGAAGCGGGGAUAUAACUAUAAGACGAGAAGACCCUAUGGAGCUUUAAACAACCCAGCAAUUACUUCUAAAAUUGUAAAUUUCAGAAUAUUCAUUUCUNUAAGUAAUGUGUCUGCAAGUUUUUGGUUGGGGUGACCAUGGAGAAUAACAUAACCUCCAUAUUGAAUGAAUUACCUUCUAAGCUGAAAAUUACCAAUUAAAGCAUCAACAUACUGACAUCUAUUGACCCAAUAUAUUUGAUCAACGAACCAAGUUACCCUAGGGAUAACAGCGCAAUCCACUUCAAGAGCCCCUAUCGACAAGUGGGUUUACGACCUCGAUGUUGGAUCAGGGU